GUGGAACUCGUCCCAAACUGAAGGGACCCACAACCGAGAAAGAAAGGGGGAGCCCCGUCCGACGGAACUGCGUCAUACAGAUGCGAAUGACGUCACUUCCGCUUCCGGCAAAGGCGGGUGCCGGCUCUGAGCCCGUUCCCUCUGUAGAGUUGGACCGCAUCUGGCUCAAAGUCUAGUUUGCUCCUCCUGCCUGGACAGGGACCGGUAUGACUACACGGAAACCCUCACCGACGAGUUCCUGGAUCGCAAUGGAGUUGACAGGGACUCCAGGCAGUACGGAUCAAGUGGGUAUUGAACGGGCAAAGAUAAACUGUGUCCAUCUGUAGCAGACAUCCCUGCCCAGGACCAGCAGACGAUAAACGGCACAUGCUCCUUGCUUUCCGUAACUUGGCUGUGCCGUUUUAUGUCAAGAGUCAGACCGAAGUCCUGCGUGCCUCCAAUGGGAACGUCAGACAGCGGCGUGGGAGCGUGGUGGUCCUCCACCAGAGGCCGCCACAGGAACCUCGGCCCUGGUCUGCGAAGUGUCAGGGCUCCGCUGAGUUCUGUGCAGUGAGGUCAGCAUGACCACAGCUGAAAUCCUUUCCCCUGACCUGAUGGCUUGCUGGCUAAUUGCACCCAGUUCCAGUGCCUGUUUGUUCUAUCCAAACAAGGAGACCUGUUUUGAAGCUCUGAGGGAUGUACAGGCCGAGGACCCCCCAGAUGAAGAGAAGAGCUGAACAUUCGGAUAGAAAGACUUGCGGCUCCACCUUUUCACCUGGAUUCAGAACUAUGAAUGCCCUAGAGGUCUAAGAAUGAACGUUAUCUUUCUACUGGAAUGCUGUGUAGCAAAAGAAAAGGAAAUCACCGCAGCGUGCACCUGUCAUCCCAGUAAUCUGGGAGGCUGAAGCAGGAGGAUGGCAAUCUGAAACUCAGGCUGGGCAGUUCUGUGAGACUCAGUCUCAAAAAAAAAGUUAAAAAAAAAUAUAUAUAUAUAUAAAGCGGGGGGAGGGCUGGGGUGUAGCUCAGUGCCACAAAAUCACAAGAACAAUGAUUAGAAGGGAAAGGGAAAGGAAGAAGCGGCUUUCUGACACCGCAGCUCACCUGAGCU